rnacentral:rRNA from 1 species
UAGGGAAUCUUCGGCAAUGGACGAAAGUCUGACCGAGCAACGCCGCGUGAGUGAAGAAGGUUUUCGGAUCGUAAAACUCUGUUGUUAGAGAAGAACAAGGGUGAGAGUAACUGUUCACCCCUUGACGGUAUCUAACCAGAAAGCCGCGGCUAACUACGUGCCA